UACGAAGGGGGCUAGCGUUGCUCGGAAUCACUGGGCGUAAAGGGUGCGUAGGCGGGUCUUUUAAGUCAGGGGUGAAAUCCUGGAGCUCAACUCCAGAACUGCCUUUGAUACUGAAGAUCUUGAGUUCGGGAGAGGUGAGUGGAACUGCGAGUGUAGAGGUGAAAUUCGUAGAUAUUCGCAAGAGCACCAGUGGCGAAGGCGGCUCACUGGCCCGAUACUGACGCUGAGGCACGAAGGCGUGGGGAGCAAACAGG
rnacentral:rRNA from 1 species